rnacentral:rRNA from 1 species
CCUACGGGUGGCUGCAGUGGGGAAUAUUGCACAAUGGGCGCAAGCCUGAUGCAGCCAUGCCGCGUGUGUGAAGAAGGCCUUCGGGUUGUAAAGCACUUUCAGCGGGGAGGAAGGCGGUGAGGUUAAUAACCUCAUCGAUUGACGUUACCCGCAGAAGAAGCACCGGCUAACUCCGUGCCAGCAGCCGCGGUAAUACGGAGGGUGCAAGCGUUAAUCGGAAUUACUGGGCGUAAAGCGCACGCAGGCGGUCUGUCAAGUCGGAUGUGAAAUCCCCGGGCUCAACCUGGGAACUGCAUUCGAAACUGGCAGGCUAGGGGCUUGUUGAGGGGGGGAGAAUUCCAGGUGGAGCGGUGAAAUGCGUAGAGAUCUGGAGGAAUACCGGUUGCGAAGGCGGCCCCCUGGACAAAGACUGACGCUCAGGUGCGAAAGCGUGGGGAGCAAACAGGAUUAGAUACCCGAGUAGUC